UGGGUGACACAACCAGGUGACACUGGGUGACAACCGGGUGACAUUGCUGGGUGACACCGCCGGGUGACGACGCUGGGUGACACAACCAGGUGACACCGCCAGGUGAUACUGGGUGACAACUGGGUGACAUUGCCAGGUGACACCGCCAGGUGACGACACUGGGUGACACAACCAGGUGACACAGGGUGACAACCGGGUGAUGUUGCGGGGUGACACCGCCGGGUGAUGACACUGGGUGACACAACCAGGUGACACCGCCAGGUGAUACUGGGUGACAACUGGGUGACAUUGCCGGGUGACACCGCCAGGUGACGACACUGGGUGACACAACCAGGUGACAGGGGGUGACAACCGGGUGACGUUGCGGGGUGACACCGCCGGGUGACGACGCUGGGUGACACAACCAGGUGACACGGGGUGACAACCGGGCGACGUUGCGGGGUGACACCGCCAGGUGAUGACACUGGGUGACACAACCAGGUGACACCGCCAGGUGAUACUGGGUGACAACCAGGUGACAUUGCCAGGUGACACCGCCAGGUGACGACACUGGGUGACACAACCAGGUGACACUGGGUGACAACCGGGUGACAUUGUGGGGUGACACAACCAGUGCGCCGCCCCCCCCGUCACCGGGCCGUGCCGCGCCGCGUUCCGGCGGUGGUACCACAGCCCCCAACACCGCGACUGCCGGCCCUUCACCUACGGCGGCUGUCGGGGGAACAGCAACAACUACCUCCGGAAGGAAGAGUGUCUGCAGCGCU
rnacentral:lncRNA from 1 species